rnacentral:tRNA from 1 species
GCCGCCUUAGCUCAGCUGGUAGAGCAUCGCAUUCGUAAUGCGGGGGUCACAGGUUCGAAUCCUGUAGGCGGCACCA